rnacentral:lncRNA from 1 species
CUUCUCCGGCGUAGCGGUGACGACUCCGGCCACCUCCCACCGCAAAACCACCACCAAAUCACUCCUCUCUUUCUCCUCUAUCUAACCCAGUCCAUGAAACUCACGUGCAGUUCGAUCCAAAGCCAAAUCGAGGGAGAGAAGCCUUGACUGUUUCCGGUGAGUCCUCAAGUUUCCGGCCACAACUUGACUAGUAGAUGGUAGGGUUAGCUUCCUCUCUUCCUUCCUCACAUUCAGGUGCCUUUCUUUUCUUGAAUCGAGCUCCAAAUUGGAAAUCCCUAAUUCUGCCUUUUCUAGGUUCUGAUCAUGGUUUUCCGAUGACUGGUUCCGGGAGCUCCACCGAGUCCUACGAUCUUCGUAUGAGGCUUAGACGCCAUUUGGAGGAGUUGUUGGAGCAGCUACGUUGAUUUGGGAUUGAGGCAGAAGCUUAAGAUGCUGCUGCUGUGGUGUUAGAGGCGUUGGUGAGCUCAGGUACUGUUGAAGGCCACGGUGAGCAGCAACGGUUUAGGCUGAGAGUGAACUCAGUUCGGUGAGGUUUAUAGCAAGGUGAGGAAUCUCUAGAUUUCUACUCAGUUUGGUGAUUAAAAUGUUACUGUGUUUUGUGGUAUGGUAGAUUGGUGAUUAAUCUUGGGUUUUGGUUGCAUGAAUGUCGAGAACUUGGUGCUUUGAAGAAUACGGGGAGGUUAUGGCCAUUUUCCGGCAGAAUAUUCUGACAAGUCGCCGGAAUCCGACGAAGGCAGUUACUCCGGCAGAAGCGAUGGAGGUAGUGAUUGAUGUUUCCUUUUCGUUUUAUGUCAUUUCGGAAAUAGGAAAGUUUGGGUUGUAAUCGGAAAAAUUACGAAGUUAUGAAAAUUUCUAUUUUGGGAAACUUUCCGUUUUUGGAAACCUUUCAUUUAUGGAAACCCUUUUUGGGUGCCCUUAGUAAUUUAGUGGUUUUACAGUUUAUGGUGGUUGUACGUUUUGAGUUAACGAAAUUACAUUAGUUUGAUUAAUCAAAAUCAAGGUUCACCAAAAUGAAUUUUUAAGCGAGGCCUAAGUGUCUACCGGUUAGUAGGACGUAUAGCUCGGAUCGUUAACUCAAAGGUUAAGUUGGAAAAUGUUGUUCAUCGUUAGUUGGUCAAUCCUGGUCAACCUAGGAAACCCUAGUCAAACUAGGAAAGAAGACAAG